CAAAUCUCUCAUCAUUGUCUAUUCUCCACUACUCCACCUGAAAUUCAGAGACGGCUGCGGCUGAGAUAAACCGAGAAGAUGAGAAGGAAGAUAUGAAGAAAUUCUGCUGCUGCCAUGGAUCGAAGAAGAGAGGAUAGCAAUGGAGAUUUGAGAUCUGAAGUGAAUUAAAGAGAUGGGUUUUGCAGUUACAAUCGAGAACGGGUUCGAAUUUGAAGAAGAUGAGAUCUGAGAUGAAUCUAGUGAUGUUAGGGUUUGUUGCUUCUGGAACUGCAGUUGGAGAUGGAAUUUAUACUAAGGCAAAGAUGGUGAUUCUGGUGAACUGAGAUUACAGGACAUGAAGCCACAGAUGUAGUUGGGAAGUGCAGGUGAAGUCCAAGAAUUGAGCCAAGACGCAGACGGAGUUGAUGCUUGGAAGAACAUAACUUUUCUUUUGCAGCACAGGUAACUGAGAUGGUUAAGGUUGCAAUUGGUGAUUGUGUGUGUUGAUAGCAGUGCAGGGUUUGUGUUCAGUGGUGGCUUGAGACUGAAAUAGGUUGAUGUAGUCUCAAUUGAGGAGUUGGAAUUUGAUAAGCUUCUGGUGGUAUCUUGAAGCAGUGAUGCAAUGGCUAAGCAGAAUGGAUGGUGCCAUGGAAGAUUGCAAGACUGAGAUGCUGAUAAUGAUGCUGAGUUGCAGAGGCAAUGAAAAGAAAUUACAGAAAUGAGUUGUGAUGAUGGAGCUGUUGCUGUUGUGCAACUGCAGUUGGCUUUGCUGGUGAUGGUUUGUUGUUCAUCAGGUGGAUUUUGCUCUAUUCAAGAUAGAAGAAUGAUGUUGAUGAAGGAUUUGUGGUUAAUCUCAAGGAGAUGAAGAUGGUGUUAAUGCCAUGACCUGGUGGUAAUGAAAUGGUUGUCUGUGGUAUAUGCUGCUGAGAGAAUGGAAUUGCAGUUAUGAGCCAGUGAGACUUGAACUGACAAGAUAUUGUAGGUGGACUUGGUGUUGUUGUUGUCACAUAGAAGCUUAAGGAAGCGGUGGACAAGAUUAAGAUGGAAGAAUGGCAGCUGUUAUGAUGUCAAAUGGAACUGAGUUAUAAGGGGAUGACAUGGAGGUACUGCAGCUGUAGAAGAUGGUGCUGAGAUGGUGCAAUUGAAGUGGUUAUGGGUACGAGCUGCUGAGGAAAUAAAUGGUAGAUGCUGUAGCAGGUGGUCUUGUUUGUGACAAUUACAGGAGCAGAUGGAGUUGAAUUGUUGGGGUCUUGGUACUGAAUUGAUGGUUACUGAAAUGGAUUUGAGUUGGUGCAACUGAAGAUGGUGAAACUGAGUAGAUGAAUGUUUAAGGUAGAUGAUGGCUAGAAGAUACAGGUAAUGGUUGUUGUAGCAAGCAGCAGCUGAGUACUCGGUGAUAUCGCAAAUUACUGGGAAGUUAGUGGUGAUGUUGUUGCUGCCUGGAAUUGAUAAAAUGGUACUGCAGUAGAUGCAUCUGAGUUGCAGUUGCAGCUCAGAUGGAGAUCUGAUAAAUGAAAGAUUUGUGAUCUAGAUGCUGCAAUUGUUUGUACUGACUGGGGCUAUAGAAGAAGGCUUAAAAGCAGCUGGUUCAGCUGGGUGCAGUGGGUUGAUCUAAGGGCAGUGCAGUUACAGAUGUUGCAAGUGCUGGAUGAGCUGAAAUGAAAUGCUAGAUAUGAUGCAGCUGACUAGCUGAGUGUAAGCAUGUGCAAAUGGCUCAGGCCUUAGCAAUUCAGCCCACUCAGCCUAAAGAUCUCAGCUGAUUCAUGGUCUGACUAUCUGAAUCACUGAACACAGUUAACUCGGUAUGACUCACUGAGUUUGACCGAGUUGACCCCGUUGACUAGAUGCGACCGGUGACCGGGUGGACUUUGCCGGUCAUCUGAGAUACUUUUCCGGCCAACUUCCGGCAGUGGACCCAGUUUUCCGGCGACAUAUUUUUAGGAUAAUUUCUAAAUGGGUUUUUCUCACAUAUGGGCUUGGUGGAUUUUUAUCUAAUGGGUUUGAAGACUUGGACCUAAUUUUGGAACAAGAGGAGCUAUAAAGGAGAAGUCUUUCUACAACUUGGGGAUCAAGUAUUAUUCUUGGAGCUAAGGAGAGAGCCACUUUUGUUGACGCUACUAUGAUUUGCUUGCUUUCAUCUUCUUUAUUUGAUUAUUGAUUAUGAUGAACUCCAUAGCUAUGAGUAGCUAAUUUAAUACUAUUGGUUAAGGAUGUAGUCCUAUAUCUACAACUUGUGAUUGAUUAAUGCAUUAGUUUUCUCUCUUGAUUAUCGUUC